rnacentral:rRNA from 1 species
UACGGAGGUGGCAAGCGUUGUCCGGAUUUAUUGGGCGUAAAGCGAGCGCAGGCGGUUCCUUAAGUCUGAUGUGAAAGCCCCCGGCUCAACCGGGGAGGGUCAUUGGAAACUGGGGAACUUGAGUGCAGAAGAGGAGAGUGGAAUUCCAUGUGUGGCGGUGAAAUGUGUAGAUAUAUGGAGGAACACCAGUGGCGAAGGCGACUCUCUGGUCUGUAACUGACGCUGAGCCUCGAAAGCGUGGGGAGCAAACAGG